CCGUGGGAGGCAAACUUUGUUGGCGUUUGCGUGACGAUGGUUGUGUUGGUGCUGCUGCCAGCAAGGAUGACCAAACUGGGAUGGAAAUUUGAAGGUCGCGCACCGUACCAGCCAGGGCUACGAGCUGGUGGGAAAAAUCGAUUGAACUUGAGCUUGAAAAUUUUCCAUACACACUAGGUGUGUGUGUGUGUGUGUGUGUGUGUGUGAGAGAGAGCUUUGGGAGCACACAAAUACACACAGGCACUUGUAGUGCUAUAUGCAAUAGGGUAGUCUUAGUCUUUCGCCGAUGGGGGUUGCAAGUGUUAGCAUGUGUCAGUAACCGUUAAAACGCUUCUGACAUGUGUCAACGUACUGGUAGUGGUGCCAAGCGGGGCUAUUUCGAUUGUUAUUUCGAUAUUUUCCAUCAGUUUUGUUGUUGUUUUGAAAAUAGGAUACAAAGGACAUUGAGCAAUGUCGGACUGUAUGGUUUAUAGGGUUCAUUUAGGUGUUGAUGGCAUGGCGUGAUCCAAGCAGUGGUACGGAAUAUCAGCAAACAUACACUGCGUUUGGCAAUGGUUGGCCCAUGCGCUUCGCCUACGUUGUCCCGUUUGGAACGAUUUGGAACGGUUCCAUGUUACGAAAUGCGCUUUUUAGGGAGACCAGGAAAAGAUGCCAGAAGGUUUUCCCAACCGUAAGUCAAACAAAGAUGCCCGGUACGGGAUAAGCUUAAUGUUUCUGCUUGGUACAAAUGUUUCAUUAAAAAUCAAAAGGGCAUAAAAGCUGCGGCAACACCACAUGGCUUGUGUAAGUGUAGUAGUGCCCGAAUGGUGAAAGGAUUAGAGUUUUUGGAGGUGGACUGUGACGGAGCGAGACGGCCUCAACAAUAAAGGCCAUCUCGGAACGGAAACGGAUGUGGCAGCGUGCCAAGCAAGAAAGAUUGGCCGUGUCCGCAGGAAAGAGAUGAUGGGGCGAGAAAUCACUGGCACGACGAUCGGUCUGGAGGGUAAAGGGACAGUGAGGGAGCAAGAGGUAUAGAAAGAGAAAAAAGAGAAAGAGAGAAAAGUAUUGUUUCUCGCGAAUUGCGUCGUAGGAAAAAUUGGUCCAUCUUAUGCGAUAUAUCAGUACACUUUAUGUAGUUUUAAUUGAUAUACUUUUUUCUCUUUGAAACAGUAAAACACAACUUUAUUACCAUUUUUUUUCUUGCACACUGUAUGCCAAAUGCCAAUGUAUGUGUUUUCUGCUGUAAAGAUAUUAAAAUACUCAGAAUGUAAUUUUAAAAUUCUAUACCACACAAUUCUAUUGUUUGCUUGCCUUAGUGAUUGGGAUUAAGAUUUGGGGCAAAUGAAAAUAAACAUCCUCGCAGCUUGUGUGUUUUAUCCGAUGACCUUGCUAUCGAACAGCUAGAUGCACUGGAAUGCACUCAGUGAAGCACAAACACACACAGAAAUACAUCUGGUAGGGCCAGCUAAGAAGAAAGCUAACCUGGUACGUGAUGAAAUGCACCAUUCCGUUGUUGUUCGCUGAAUGCCGGGCUUGACGUACUUGCAUUAAAUGAUUUCGCCUGUGUGCAUAACGCAAAGGUCAGUGAUCACAUUUCGGAACACGGGUACCGCCCAAAAGAAUGUGUAAACACGGCUGGGGUAAUGUAAAUCGGCAGCCUGGUCCAGCAAAACUGUGCUCAGUAAUGUCAAUAGUUUGCAAUAUAUUGUGCAUUCCAUAGGGUAAACGAGGAUCUGCGGUGGUGUUUAGGUUAGGUUUUGAUGAAAGAGUUUAACGGCGGGUGCACAUCUAUAAUUGGCUGAGUAAUGUUUAGAGUUCUUUGUUUGUUUUCUUAUUUAAUCUUGCAACGUUGAACAAAGGAAUUUAGUCAUUUGGCGAGUACAGAUUUGCUAUAUACUUCUCCUAUUGAUCCAACACGACCAUUCGUUGGGAUGAACGGUUAAAAGUAAGGAGAAUUUUUCACUGCGAGCACUUGCUGACUCUUCUAUCGAUGACUUCUAAAGUAAAGAUAAAGAUGAAAGAAUGCUGACCGAGGAUUCGCAGGAUUACUCAGAGAAGGAAGGCUUAUCCUAAGCUGUUUGAAUCUCAAGAACAAUUCAUCGCUUGGUAUCAUCACUUUGGCAGUUCAAAAAUUUAGGAUAGACACGGAUUGAAUAGACUUUAUGUGACAAUGAUCAAUAAGAAAUAUUCAAUACAAAUGGAACGUUGUAAUAUUUAAAUUAGCCCCAAUUUUCAUUUGGCUAACUGUACACAAGGCAAGCGAGAAACACACCAGUACAACGUUAUUUGACAAGCUUACUAGCAUAUUUGUCUCUAUCACAUGUUAUCCAUAACAAAUUAUAUGAGAAGAAUUCGCAACUAAGCUGGUUAGUGUGACGAAUUUUGAUGAAUUUUUGUAAUGUUUAAUUUUCGAUAGUGUUUAUUUCUGUACCUGCAGAAAAGCUGCAUAGGGAAAGGGGGAAAAUAUGAAUAGGGAAAAAUUCAUUUUAUUUGUAUACAAAUGUCGUUUAUAAAAAACAAAUUGUGUACAUAGGACCUUAUUCUUAUAAUUGUUUACAUACUUUUCAAAGAAAUAUAAACAUUUAAUCUACUCCUCCACUAACCGUCAACCGCCUCGCAAAAUCGGCAAAACAUGCGGAACAAGCAGUGCUGGUACUGGUUUUCUUUCCUCUUUUUGGUGCAAUGUUUUCACACCGUCAAAGUGGCAUCGAUUGAGGAAACAGUUCUGGCCCUGGCCGUGAAAAACGAACGCGCUGGAUUUUCUUAAAUCUUUCCCGCACACCGCAGUUCUGCUAGAUGCGUACAGUUUUGACGACGGCAUGCGGCAUGAUAAGUAGUUCGGUACAGAAUAGGAUGGAUUUUCCAUUUCCAUUUUGAGGAGGAAAAAAACGGAACGAGGCCCGGAUGAGGUAGGGAAAGUGGGUAGCAGCUUUCAUCGCAUGAGUUGUUGGCAGUGUGUAUAUGCAUACGUAUAGUCUCUUUCUGGUUGUUGGCAAAUUUGAGCAUCAUUGCACGGUUGUGCGCUUGUGUGCUGAAAUGAAUUGAAAGUGUGUGUACCAAUAUGAACGUGUGUGUGAGUGUGGCGUGACCUUGGCCUUUAGAAUCCGGGGAAGCAGCAGCAAUUGAGCCACAGUGCUGACGACCAUCAUGGUAUUGGUGCACGUUGGAAUUCAUCCAAAUUUUGGCUCACGCUCCAAACGCUUUGUGUUUUCGACCUCGGAGGAUUGAACGAUACCGCCAUGGCAGGAUGCUGGGUAUGAACUUGAGGCAAAAUUCAACCGGAAACAUGGAAUCAGCUGUGCGAUUGAUAAUUUUACCAAUUAACUGUGUAACGUUGCGAAGUGACAAAUGUGCAAAUUCUAGUAUUUCUAGAGUACAAAGUACAUGUGAAAAUAUAUUGGAAAUAAGGCGAUUAAAUGUUCUGUUAUGUUAAAAAAAAUCGUUUGGUAAUGUUUUUCACUGUUAAUUUUUAUUUUAACAUGUAUAAUAUUUGAAAAGAGUUAAUUUAAUGCGUGCUAAGGCAUUUGAAAAUCUUAUUAAACUGCGAAUGAAAACAUUACAAAUCAAAAUUGAUUUAUGCGUUCGACAAAUGCUUUACUGCGCCUCACAAAUCUUGCAAAGCUUCGUAAGUCAGUUACUUAAACUGAAUCUCAGAAAAUUUAAAUGAGUUUUAGAUAGUAUUUUUUAAUAAAUUAACAUAAAAAUCAUUGAUCGAUUAAGAAAACCCAGUUGUAGCAUCGCAAACGUUCAUUUCAAAUUCCUGGACAUGCUAUAAUACAAAAUCAUACCCAGAUGGCGCUGUUUGAAUGUUUGACAUGUAGAUGGCGCUAGCCAAUUCUGAACUUCUACAUGUAGAUCACGCUAGGAAGUUGAAAGUAAAUUUAAAACAACUGCUAUUGGAAAAAAAAACGUAACGGCAGAUUAACUUCACAAUUCUCAUAGUUUUAUAAUUCAUUUAAAUAGGGAAAUAAAAUAAAACAUUAAAGUUGUCUGAUAAUUGGAAAUGUAACAAAAUGAACCAAAGCUUG